rnacentral:lncRNA from 1 species
GGCAUCGGAUUUUACGUCUCUUCCGAGAGGACGUUCCAGCGUUCUUACACAUCUCACACAGCCAAACGAAUGCCCCACAUUGGCAAGAGUUUUACUGCCGAUCGACAGAAGUAUAGUGACCAUAUUUCUAUUCCCCAGUCACCCGUGGAAAAGAAACUCAUUUUUGUGUUAAGACAUCAUUAACAAUCAGAAAACACGAACUUG